AUGCCUUUGGCCUUUUACAGCCUGGUCCCCCAUCUUAACUCUGAGAUAUUGGAGAAAACAGUGAAGGCCCCAGGGUUCCUCCACACUGCUGUGCUCUGCUACUCCUCCCUUAUCAAGCUCUUUAUGGAUGGCCAGACUCCCUGCCCUGUGACCGAGCAUUUGACUGACCAGAUGGACCCCUCAUAUAUUCUGACUAGGGCCCAGCAGGUGCUUCUGAAGACUAUAUCUCUGACAUCCCCAACCUCACUGUCUCAACAUCAGCUGAACCAGCUGGAGGCCUUAUGUGUUGAUCUGGACCCGGAGGUGGCAGCAGCUCUGGUCUUUCACCUCAGCUCUUCCAGCCUCAGCCCAGAGCUGGACUUCCUGUGAAUGGAUGUAUAUGGGGCUACAGGCACACCACGGACUGUUAAUGACACUAACUUGGCUUCCUUCAUGAACAAGAUAUAUAAAGAUGAUUAGUAUGGGUGCAAGAGGACUAGGUCUUUGUCCUCCAAUGAAGAAUAUACUUGGAUAGCUACAUUAUAAUGUUGCCUUUAGGUUAUGUGGUUGGCAGUUGUAUUUUAAUUCUGUGUGUGUGGAAGGAAUUGUGGUUAUGGGAGCGCAGUGUAUAUUCAGCAUUGUAGAAAGAUACCUGUACACAGAAGAGCCUGAUGACUUGUAUAGCUGUUUAAGUUUCACCAGCCCUUAUGAAUGUUGUAAGGAAUAAACUUAAUCAAAUAUCUUAAUUUAAAAAAGCAUUGAUCUACACUUUCUCAUCAUUCAUUUUCCACUAUCAAGUAUGUUGUGGGUUUAGAGCAGGUAUGGGGAAAGUGGUGAAACCCCCCCCCCAUUUUUAGGAACUGUUGGGGUCUCAACAUACUGAGAGUUAGAAUAGUAUUAUACACAAAGUGCAAUUUUGUAAUUUGGUUGUGCAUCAGCAGUUUCCCUAGUUACGUCAGUCACACAAUUAGCCCAUGUCAGCAAAAAAUAAAAUGUGCUGGCCGCUAGACCAAUCUAAAUGUGUGGUAAUCAUGGUCGAAUUACCGACCAGGGGGCCACUGUUGAUUUUGUUGCGCUACGCCCCAUGGCAAAAUGUGUAGAAAUGGACAAAAGUAACUCUAAAACGUAUAUUUUUUGCAUUUAUGGAUGUGGGUAGGCAGACAUGCAAGUCACUGCGGCGGAAAAAGUAUCCAAAUCUCAUAUUUGAUUAAAAGUAAAGAUAUCUUUUAAUAGAAAAUUACUCAAGUCAGUCACCCAGUAUUUGGUUUUAAAUAUACCUAAGUAUCAAAAGUAAAAGUACAAAUAAACCAGAUGGCAUUCAAAAUGUAACAAGUACUUUUGGGUGUCAAGGAAAAUGGAGUAAAAAGUACAUUUUCUUUAGGAAUGUAGUGAAGUAAAAGUUGUCAAAUAUAAAUAGUAAAGUACAGAUACCCCCAAAAAAUGACUUAAGUACUUUUAAAGUAUUUUUACUUUACACCACUGAGUUCAUAUUUUUCUGUGGCCCCAGUCAGUUGCCUAUUCCUGGUUUAGAGCAUGAACAGUACAAGUCAAAUCAAAUGUUAUUGGUCUCACACAUAUUUAGCUGAUGUUAUUGCAGGUGUAGUGAAAUGCUUGUGUUCCUAGCUCCAACAGUGCAGUAGUAUCUAAUACUUCAACAAUACACACAUCUAAAAGUAAAAUUAUGGAAUUAAGAAAUAUAUAAAUUAGGACGAGCAAUGUCUGAGUGGCAUUGACUAGAAUACAGUAUAUACAAUUGAAAUGAGUACAACAGUAUAAACAUUAAAAGUGACUAGUGAUUCCAUGUCCUGUUCAAUUAGUCACUGUACCCAUGACCAUUCUAUACCAGACUCCUUAGAGGCUCAAGGGACGUUGUGUUCUUUGCAGCUCCUUGUCGGUCACGGACCUAAUCAAGUCUAUCAACCGGUGUAUGGGUUCAGCUCCCCAGUCUCUGAUGGUUGGUUGUUGGAGGGGCUGUCAAUGUUUCCUCUGACAGCUGCUAGUGUGAGGGGAUGCACCGUGGCCGUUGAGGUUGUGGGCCUUCUCAAAGCGCUCCCCACACAGAUCACAUGCAAAUUCCAGAUCAGCCUCUGCCUUGUUUGGUCAUCUUAAAUUUGACAAAAAGGCUUAGUGAGGGUGCCAAAUACAAGAUUGCAUUCUUGUGCCCCUAUCCAUCCUUUCCAUUAUUACAGACUCACCCAAAUCAUACCACAUAAUCAAAGGCUUGGCUAACUCCUGACAGACUCAUCAGUGCUUGAGCCCCUCACAACACAAUUCAGCAGAACCUUGCCACCUGAUAUGAGCUUAAUCUCCCCCUGUAGUGGCUUAACCUCUGAGUGGCACAUCUGGUGCAGACAGGUGUUUCCUCUGCUUGAAGGUCUGACCACAUUGGUCACAGAUGUAGUUCCCCAACUCUAUAAAAAGGAGAAUGGUCUAACUUAAUACCAACACACUCUGGUAGCAUCCCAAAUGGCAACCUAUUGCCUUCAUAGUGCAUUACUUUUGAUCAGGUGACCAAUCAGGCUUUCUAAAGUAGUGCACAAUUUAAGAACUAGGACACCUUUUGGGACAGACAAAAAAGCACUGUGUCCAGUCCAGUCCAAACCUACCUGUGUGAAUGAGUUGGACGUGUCGCUGCAGGUAGCGGUCAAUCAUGAAGACCUUGUUGCAGCCUAUGGUGAGGGCAGGGCCGCUCGCAGACCUCUUCCUAGUGCUCCUUAAUGUGUUUCUGUACCCGAGACACAACCGCACUCAAAAAACGGUAAUGUACCGACAGACAUGUUCAUUGUCAUAAGAGAAUUAACAGUGCUGUAAGGAGGACUUGAAUCUGACCUUUAUGCCCUCUGCUCUUUUAAAAAAAAAAUGUAUUUUUAUUUUUUAUACAGAUAAGCAACCUGGGUACGGACAUUUGUAGAUUGGGCAGCUCCUCUCUGAAAACCAAAAACAAACAUGGAUACUACACCUCAGUCCAAUUGCUUCUUUUAUUCUGGUUCUCUUCUUCGGGGAAGCAAUUCUGCAGGGCAUGGGAAAAGGAAGAGAACACGGAAGACAUCAAAGCCACGAUGCCCUUUUUCCGCUAGUAAUAAGAGAUCUUUCUGUCCACUGAUGUGUUAUGUAUAAUUUUGGUUUGAUAUGCAAAAUAGCUAGAACCAGGGCAUCAUGCACCCCAAAAUGCUUAAUUCUUUGUAAAGAAAAAUGUAUAUUUAUCUGCAUAUCUAAGCAUACCUCUUGAGCUGUCUGUAUCCUCCAGGUGGGUAAAAAAAAAAAAAAAAACGAAAUAUGCUUCUCUGCUAAAUUCUGGGUAAAAGAUUGAAAGGAAUGUCAGUCUUAUUCAGUACAUUUAGCUAUUGCUUGCUUUUAUAGGCAUGCCAGUUAAGAUAGACAAGCUAGCUACUCUAACUUGAUAGACUGAAAUGGCAUCUUGGUAGCUAGUUGAGGUUGGGAGCCUAUCUGGGCUAGCUAAAGUCAGCUUCAUAAAAUUGCUAGGUGGCUAGUAGUAUUACAGAGAAACCACAAUUAUUUUUAAACAGGACCAGUCUGGAGGGGCAUGUGACCCUGUGCCCCCUAUGGGCAUGUCGCCUCUGGCUAGAACCCACAUUAAUCCACUCACUCCUUCUCUAGGUAUGGCUCAAAUAAUUCAUCAGAGGAUACACUUUUCCUUUUCUCUUCAAACUCAUCCUCGCUGGACAAGUUCCUAAGAUUUGACACAACAGCCUAUAGUUUAACCAAUCUUAACUUUCCAGCACUGUAUAACUUGAACCAUGUUUUUCAUUGUUGAUUCACCUGGCCUGUCCAUGAGCAGGGCUGGUGCAGGAGAGGGUGUCUCCUCACCAAAGAUAAAUUCUAGGGACAAGAGGGUCAAACUAAUUAAUUUGGACUGGCAACAGACAAGAUGGUAACCACCUGCAAAGAGCCAUACAUUUCAAUGCAGUCAAGACCA
rnacentral:lncRNA from 13 species